UACGUAGGGUGCAAGCGUUGUCCGGAAUUAUUGGGCGUAAAGGGCUCGUAGGCGGUCCGUCACGUCGGGAGUGAAAACUUGGGGCUUAACCCCAAGCCUGCUUCCGAUACGGGCGGACUAGAGGUAGGCAGGGGAGAACGGAAUUCCUGGUGUAGCGGUGAAAUGCGCAGAUAUCAGGAGGAACACCUAUUGCGAAGGCAGCUCGCUGGGACGUAACUGACGCUGAGACGCGAAAGCGUGGGGAGCAAACAGG
rnacentral:rRNA from 1 species